rnacentral:rRNA from 1 species
UGCCAGACUCCUACGGGAGGCAGCAGUGGGGGAUAUUGGACAAUGGGGGGAACCCUGAUCCAGCGAUGCCGCGUGAGGGAAGAAGGUUUUCGGAUUGUAAACCUCUGUGGACAGGGACGAUAAUGACGGUACCUGUCAAGAAAGCCCCGGCUAACUACGUGCCAGCAGCCGCGGUAAUACGUAGGGGGCAAGCGUUAUCCGGAUUUACUGGGUGUAAAGGGGGCGCAGACGGCGAUGCAAGCCAGGAGUGAAAGCCCGGGGCCCAACCCCGGGACUGCUCUUGGAACUGCGUGGCUGGAGUGCAGGAGGGGCAGGCGGAAUUCCUGGUGUAGCGGUGAAAUGCGUAGAUAUCAGGAGGAACACCGGUGGCGAAGGCGGCCUGCUGGACUGCAACUGACGUUGAGGCCCGAAAGCGUGGGGAGCAAACAGGAUUAGAUACCCGUGUAGA